GACGAAGCCCGUCACGCCGGCCGCAGAGCAAGGUCCUUCGCCGCCGUGACGAGGUCGGCCGCAUCGCGAUAGGGCUGCGAGGGGCGCCACGAGACUGCCGAUUGUCCUUCAAAUCCGUGACUCAGCAAAGUUGCUGGAUCUUAUGCUUUCCUUUGGAUGCCAAUGGAGAUGGUACUGCUUUACAAAUUCAGUUAGUGAGCACCUGAAAUAGUUGAUGCUGGCAUGGAUGCCACGAGUGAUUGGGUUGACAAUGAGCACCGGGAGAGGCUCUUCAAUGCGUGGUAAAAACUUCCACUGGGAAUCAUGGAGCUCUUCAGAUAAUGUGCAUGGGUGUUGAUGCAUCGGAGAAGUUGACCUGGGCGUGUAUUCAGCCUGAAAUUUUCAGGUACCAUCUUCAUUUUCGGAUCCAAUUAUUUUAUCAGAUCUUAUUUUUUACCUGAUAAUGUGCCGAACCAACGUAUGGUGUGUGGAUCCUCAAUUUGGAUCUGUGAUCUGCAAACCUAUCAGAUUCAACUAAAAGAGCUAGGACUUAGGUGGAUCCGACCUGGUUCAGUAGCUCAGGUUGACAGGUUCAUGUCACAAAUCAGCCAACAUUUGUGGCUUCCCUUGGUCCAAUGGCAAGCACCUACCCAUAAAAAUCCACUGCUAAGUUUAAUGUAUUGCAUCUGGGUGAGAGGUGGUGGUCAUUCUCCAGUUUCUGCUGCUUCGGAUUUAAUCCAGUGGGGCGAAUCCAUUAUUGUUUAAGGUGCAAUGCAUCUGUGAGGAGGACAUUUGAUUCUGCUGGCCGCUAUGCUCUCUCUUGUUGGAUCAACCUGUACAGGUCUUUGGCUGUAAACUUUUAAGAGGUGUUUUUGUUGCUCAAUACUCAUCAAUCGUCUUUUACUUGUUGCAGACAUUGAUGGAUGUGGCCCAAGUGCUCAUUUUGGCUUCCAACAUCAGGUAUCAGCUGGCAACUCAUAAUUCUAUUGCUCUACAUGUUACAUACUAGCAUUAAACAUAGUUUUUUGGAGUAUCAUCAAUCAUAUUUCUGCUGGGUUUUCCCAGUUUGGUAAGCAAGGAUCAAGGUGCAUCGUACAUGGGCGCUGCUUUGGAUCCCAGUAAUGUCGUCAAGAACAAUUCAUCUACCGAGGGAACGGUAAAUGGAUCAUUUACUGUCUCACAUGGGUUAUGCUCGUGGGGUGGUCCUCCAUGGGACCACCGAGCACUAAAUCCAAUGGGGAUCUGAGCUGCGGUAACUCUCUUUCUCUCUCUAGAUUUUGCAAUCUGCCACAGUACUACUGAAUCAGGGUGCCCACCAUCUCGACCGCAUCAAUUUCUACCUGGCCUCCAAAUCUAGAUCUAUGAUAGUACCAGUGAACCUGCAGAACGCAAUCCAUUUCCUUUCCUUGUGCCCUUUGAUCUCAGCUUGAUGAUUACCUUUGUGGAUGUGAAAUCAAAGCUCUCUCCAUCCAUCCAUCUUUCUGCGUCCAUAUUCCAUCGCUUUUUGUUCUCAUGUUGCUUUCUCGGCGCUUCCUACUUCCUCGUCUUCUUCCCAUCACCUUCUGCUGGAUUGAAAUCUUAUCCUCUCCCAUCAUCGCCCUAUUGUCUACAGCUGCGGAUGUUUUAGACCACCGGAUCCUUCCAAUACAUAAAGCUGACUUGACAUGAUUUCUGUUUCCAUUACAGCUCACAUGCAUAUGGUAACAAAAUUCAUUCAUAUUCUUGGAAAUGUCAUGAUCUAAAUUAAUUACAAGAAGUCAACUUUUCGUGGGAAGAAUGAUACAGCUAUUUGUUUCUUGCUAUUUUGUUGUUUAUCUAUUCUUUUACUUGGUGGGAAGUUGAUGGCCAUAACAAUCAAAACCACAAGACAGAGAAAGGAUCCCACAACCACCUCUGCUUGGCCCCCCCGCCUGCCGCCAUUUCUUUUUAAGGGUUGGUUGGGAGCAUUGAAUUAGGCAAAGCCAAGACAUGACAUGACGCGAGUACAUCAUCCAAACUGGGUGUGAUUUGACUCCGAUUCAAGACUAGCUUAGCUAAUUGUAGCAGGAAAACAUCGAUGCCCCACCCAUUUCAGCUGUCUGAGAUAUGCUCCUCUGAUCUUAGUGCCCUUUCAUGGCGUCAGCCGAGCAAAUAUAUAUGCUUUCAUUGUGUGUGGACAAGAGAUUAAAACAAGCAUAAACAUUUAGGAAACAAUGUUAAGUAUAUAGCUUAUUAGUCUGUGAUCACAUAGCUAUACAUUUCUUUCUUCUUUACAUCCUUAUCUGCUUCUUUCUGGCUCUGAGAUCUCCUCUUCCACUUGUGUCAGUAGGGCUUCUGCCUGCCAGCUGAACAGCUGCAGCUCGCCCGGCUUUCCGAUAGUGCCUUCA